rnacentral:rRNA from 1 species
GACGAACGCUGGCGGCGUGCCUAAUACAUGCAAGUAGAACGCUGAAGAGAGGAGCUUGCUCUUCUUGGAUGAGUUGCGAACGGGUGAGUAACGCGUAGGUAGCCUGCCUUGUAGCGGGGGAUAACUAUUGGAAACGAUAGCUAAUACCGCAUAACAAUAGGUGACACAUGUCAUUUAUUUGAAAGGGGCAAUUGCUCCACUACAAGAUGGACCUGCGUUGUAUUAGCUAGUAGGUGAGGUAACGGCUCACCUAGGCGACGAUACAUAGCCGACCUGAGAGGGUGAUCGGCCACACUGGGACUGAGACACGGCCCAGACUCCUACGGGAGGCAGCAGGAGGGAAUCUUCGGCAAUGGGGGCAACCCUGACCGAGCAACGCCGCGUGAGUGAAGAAGGUUUUCGGAUCGUAAAGCUCUGUUGUAAGUCAAGAACGAGUGUGAGAGUGGAAAGUUCACACUGUGACGGUAGCUUACCAGAAAGGGACGGCUAACUACGUG